CCCCUGCCGGCGGCCCCGGGACCCCGCCGGCACCUUCCCGCGGGGCUGCGGGGAGAAGGGGGGGUGGGAGGGGGGGGUGGAGAGGGAAAGGGGGAGUGGUGGGACCGCAGCUCUCCGCCGAGCAUCCCUCUGGCUGGAGCUGGAUUUUAAAACAAUAAAAUCCACCGCUGCUAUCUCGCUCGCUCCCCCCCCCCCCCCCCCCCCCCCAUCCCGUUCCCCUCCCCGCCACACUGCAGCCCGCAGCCGCCCGUGGAAAUCGCACGCCCCGCGUCUGCGUGGAGGCAGGCGGACCGCCCGGCUCCUGCCCGCCGUGACUUUAGAGCUGACGAUCUCCUCUCCUCGACCCCCACCCCUCCACACCCACCCCCUGCUCGAUGGCAGAGCCGCUGCCUCUCGCACCAGACUAUAUUUGCAAUAUGUGCUAAUUUACCAGCUAGAUGCCCUUGGAUUUUAAAAUGAACUCAUCAGUCAACGUUUCUAGGACCGAUGCUGCUCUCUCCUCACACACACCCUCCACUGCAGACAUGUUACUCAUUCUCCAAGCAUUUCCUCCCCGAAUGUCCGUCAGACGUAUAUACACUUCAUUGAUCAAACCAAAUCCCUUGAUAACAAUAAAUAAUAAUACAGACAGUUAACAUCAGCGGGGAGCGGGGCGGGGGGGGGGGGGGAGACAAAGAUGACGACUAAAUCUGCAUUGUGCUCUGCAGGGCUGAUGCCUGCAGGGAUGCAGAACGCAGGUACGCCCCUAAGGACGGGCACAGCCCCGGCCAGAACGCACCACCUGAGACCCCCCCGCACCCCGAGCCACGGGGCGGGGGGCACCGAUCAUACCCAGAACCGGACCCUAUCCAGGCUGCCUGUGUGGGAACCGCAGGGGAGAAAGCACCUAAAGCCGCCACGGAAAUAAAUAAAUAAGGCAGCUCCUUUGUUAGGCUGUGCGCUGCGCAGGUGCUCAGCACUGCAGCGUUAAGGGCAUCCGUGCGGCCAGAGAUCCCGGGGCCGCACAGUGGGAUUUUCAGAAUCAUCUUCGUUCCCACUUACAUCAAUUUCCUUUGUGCCGCAGACAGCGAGCCCCAGUGUGAGACACCAGGUUAGGAGGCCAGGCUAUUCAAUAUCCCUCUGUUCUAUGCCAGGUAUUUCACAGGCUUUGGUUUCGGGGCUCUCGGGGCUUUAUUUCCUAUUUCCCUGGGGCUAAAACGGGGCAGGCAGGACAAGCUGCCUCCUGGGAUUUUGGCUGGCUCGGCGUCUUGUGUGGGUCUGGCAAAGAGAAAGUGACUGCAGUGUAAGUGUUCGGGAAGUUGGGGAGGGUGGGGCUAUCUAGAAAUCUUUGACUCACUGGGGUAACUCCCUGAACGCAGGAAUUAAAUUAUUACUCAAAGCGAGCUACAUUUUACGAGCAGCAGCCCUGGAAUGAGAUUCUGCAUGCACACAGAGUUCGAAACAACUAAAAUAAACAUAUGGAAAUACAUAUACAAUGCAUAAUUCAAUUAUUGGGUGCAAUGCAGAAGUCCCUGAGUGACAGAGGAGGGGGAAUUAUGCAGUAAAGGCAGCCCAGGAAUCCAUGCAUACAAAUUUUCUCAUUUAUACCGACACAACCCCGACUGACACCAGCCUAGAUAGGGGAAGAAUCACUCUAUGUACUGAGGGAUCUAAUCUUUGGGAAAAGCAGAGGAUGAGAGAGACUGUAUCCGCCAGCCAUCCUCUCUCUCCCCUUACAGAUUCCAUCCCCAGCACCAUAGCUGCGUGCAAGAUGUUGCCAUCACAGAGGACCAUUUACAUCCAUUGUCUUUUCUGUGUUCCCCUUUUCCUUCCAACAACAAAAAAAGUUUUUUUUUUUCCUAAGUUUUGCUGCAAACACAUAAUUUCUUUACACAAUUUAACCAAGUCUUUGGAGGAUACUUAUUUCAAGCAGUUAACACCUGACCCCAAUUUUUGUGGGUAAUUAGUGAGCUAGAUAACCACACAAAGUGGGUAAUUAUUUAGUACCCAAGGGUACUGUACAAGAGGGUAGAGGCUGGCAAUGUUAACAAAAGCACAUCUCUAAUUAUUGUAUCUAUACUGGUGAUGUUUUAAGAAUAGUUACUCCAUCUAAUGAUCCAUGAUAAAUCAGUAAACUAUUUUGCUUCCCUUAGCAUAUAUGCCUGGUCUAAUGAAGGGCACAGCAGAGCCAAGCCCCAGCUCUGGACCACGUGCAGACACCAAGAGAACCAAAAGGCGUCCAGCUGGAGGAGUCAAUGCAAUGGGCAGAGCUAGCAGCAUGGCUGGGAGCUCACAGGUUAGUUAAGGACUGGAAAAGCCACACAGGGAGAUGUUUGCAGAGCGUGCCUACCUCUUGCUUAGGCCGUGUGGCCACUCUGGGCAUCUCUGCACACAGCAAGAAUCCCAAUCGUGUUGUAACACAGUUCUGUCUUGCUUAUUGCAAAUGGCACCACAAGUGGGCUGCUCUGCGCCUUGUGGAAGGUCAGGGCUGUAAGGCAAGAGGGUAGCACUGAAAGAAAACCCAACCCCACAGCUAAAUCACGUUUGAUGAAUUCCAAUUAUUUGCCAUCCACGGUAUUUAAAUUUCAAAAAAGCACUUUUCUCCCAUGGAAAAUAUUACAUUCUCAGUAGAUGUUCUUCACAGAUUUAAGAAGGAAGGGAUGGGAACUAUUUUGCAGCGAUGGCUAAAUAAGGAAAAUUCAGCUACCAAAAAAAGAAAAAAAAAUAAGUUUUGAUCAUGAGAACCAAGUGAAAAGAAGAGUUAUGCUGGAAACAGAUUGGUAAUCUUAAGCACAGCGGUCACUACCCACUGACCACUGUCUGCAGCAUUACACACUCUUAAGGACAUCUUCAAGACAUUACGCCCAGCAGCAAGGCACUUUCCUUUUUUAAUUGCUUUUAUGAAUCAUCGCUAACAUCCGGACACUAUUUACUAGAGUCCAGCAACCUUGUUUUUCAAGGACUUAAACUGCAGCACCUAAGGGCCUCCAGGCUGGCACAGAGAAACCGAGGCGUCAUCCUCUUGUGGUCAUAGACAUGCAUUUAACUCUGCUUGGGACCGUGCAAGCCAGGCACUAUAGAAGAAAACACAAAUGGCAGCAUCACCCGGCACUGGGAGUGCCAGGAAUGUGUAAUUUAAACAAAGUUUGAGGGGUUUCCCUAACUCUCCAUACCUCUCUUUAGUUCUUUUAUUCCUUCCCCCCCAGCGAAGUACAACUGAAAAAGGCCUGAAAAUUGGUCUUGCCCUUAAAAAGGGACCAAAUCUCCACAGUCCAUUUGUUUCCGAGCACACCUGUUCAUCUCACCAGUGUGAGCAGGUCAAAAAGGAAAAAAAAAAACCUUGCCAAAAUUGGGGAUCAGUUCAGAGCAGCUGUGCAGCAAACACCUGUCCACUCUGAACCGCACCAGAAGAUUGAAGCUUCUUUCAUGUGUUACAGGCCAUUUAAUAAUCCAGCAACUUACAGUGUUUGGCUGCUACCAUGCUGAGGUGAGUAUAAAUAAAUUGGUAUCCCCUUCACUAAUCCUCUUAGGGACCCAGUUUGCGGGAAGAGUUCUCACAGAAAUGGAGUGAGAGCCAUUUUGCAGAGAGAAGCUGGAAAACAGAAAGGAAGAAUGAAUUUAAUCAUGGACACGGGUUCAAAGCAGACCUUGGUAGGUGCACAGUUGGAGCAGAAAGCAGAGUGCAGACAAACUAUGAUGAUUUUUUUUUCUGAAAUGAAUUGGAAUUAGAGGUUCAAAGGAGAAAACACAUAGGGGAAGGGAGGGUCAGCCAGAGGGGAUGCUUUAGGGACUUAAGCAUUAACUAUAAAACCUUGAGGUGUUUUUGAGACAAGUCAGUAACUUCACUACAGACCAACUUAAAUCUUUUCUUCUGUAGGAGAACAAAUAGAAUUGGUAAUUUUACUGCACCAACACCAUUUUGGAAAUGUUUGUAAAGAUACCAGUCCUGCCUCAGCUACAUGGGCAGCAUACGUGAGGUGAGAUGAGAAGAAUUUUAAGAAACAAUACCACAUCUUCAAGGGAGUAAAAAAUAUUUGCCAAUAUAAAUGAAGAAUUCUAACAGUGAUUGAGGAAAGGUGCAAAUUCAUGGUGUGGGGCAUAUCCGUGGCAAAUAAAGGUUGGGUGAAGUGUCAUGGUUUGGGCAUGACCAGAACAGCCCUCUAACUACCAAGCGAGGAGCUGGACAAUCUAAGGCUUCUAAUUUGAACUGCCCUGUCUUGUACUGCAUUGUCCAAUUCCACACCAAGGCAGUUUUUCACCUCUUCCUACCCUGCUUCCCCAUAUAAAAAACCAUCACAUCAAAGCUUACCACAUCUGCAGAGAGUUCUGAGGUCCUUGGAAGAAAGCUGCUCCGUCCAGAUUACUCAUUAUCCUCAACCCUGUUAGUCGACAAAGAGGAUGCCGUAUGGUUGAUGGUCAUAACACUCCAUUUCAUCCCCAGUAAGUCCUUUUAACCCAACCCACCCAUCAGCUCUCACCUUCAAACCCAAGAAGGUCUAUUCUGACAGUGACUCAGCAUAGAGAGGGGAUGGUUGUAUUUUUUCUACCCGACUCCAAUUCUGCUAACAUGUUUCUAAAAGACUGUUGAGCUCCAAAUCUUUCAACCUCUAUAAGAUAAUGGAGGACAAUUAAAAUAAUACAGUUGUUAUUUUAUGGACAAAGCCACAUUUAUUUAUGGACAAAGCCAUAAAACAAUUUAUCCUAAGGUGAGAAAAGCAAGGAAAAAGCCAGAUGAGGUGGAGUUGUUCACCUCCAGGCAUGAGAGUCCUGGAAUUCUGCAUCAUUCCGUGCCUUAUUUAAAACCAAGUUUGGGAAAAUGGGAAGGGUUCAACAAAAGGUCAGUGGAUGUAACAGAGGGAUUUAAAAGAAAGGUUACAGAGAUUAAUUCAUUCACUAUCAAAGAAAGAGCAUGAGAAGCAGGAAUGCAGUACCUGGAGUUAUGUGUGUUUUGUCCAUGGGGAGUUCACAAUCUGCUUUCAAAUGUGAGCUCUUCUGUACAUACUGGAUUUAACCAAACUCCAAAACUCAAGACGAAACUUGAACUUGUUUGGAUGAAGUCACGCACUAAUGUUUAACAUCCACUCCUGCAUGAUUUGCCAUUUCCAUACCACAUCAAGCACCUGAAAACCCUCGUAUUUCACAUGGCUUCUGGUCUACCAGGAGUUUCGCAUAAGGCUUGAUUCACAUAAAACAUGACCAAAGCUCCAAGAAACUCACUAAAAUUUCAGAUAAAUCUAAUCAUUUUUGAGCUGGUGGUAAUACUCCUUCAGAUCUGAGUUCUCAUACCAAAAGUCUGACAAAUUUUCAGGUAUUUCAGUUACUAGCUGAUGGAGCUUUAUUAGUCUGUUAACCUAUGAUGAACAUUUAAUGCUUUUUAUUUAAAUUUGUUUGAAAUUCAAAUAGAAUCAUUGCAUGAAAGAGGUGAUGUCCCUUAAUUAAUCAACUCUUCUUUUUUUCCCCUCUUUCCCUAAAAGUCGCUAAAAGUAAUACACAGACUGAGACUACUCAAUUAGAAUCUAAAUGACUGAACCCAGAUCCAACGUCAGGAACAGGCACAAAGUUUAGUGACAUUUUGGGAAUCUGACCCAGCAGGAAGAGUAGAAAAUUAGAUUAAAAUUAGAAAUCCAUGAGGCUAAAGCAGAGCUAGAGCGAAUUAUAUUUCAAUAGGCAAAAAGUGUACGGGUCACACUGUACCGAGAUGGAAAGGCUGAGCCUGCCUGCUGCAGUCCAGAGAUCUAUUUCCCUCUCCUCCAUGAACCCGCUGUGGAUCCUCAGUCUGCACCCAUUUUUUCCCUGCAUAAAACUAAAAUAAGUAACGUAUCUAUUUCACAUGAGAAAGAAAUGACACUGAGCCAUAAUUAAUGUUUGUAGAGAUCCCUGAUAGGUUAUAAGGAGCGGAAGAACCUCAGAGCAUAGUCAUCCUACACAUCCCCCAGACCUCCUGUCACAGCCUUUUUCACCAGCAAUGACUUUCUUUUUAAAGAGAGGCUGGAAUUAUUUCAAAGAUAAACAAAAAUUUGUUUUCCAGGUGUUCUUGUACUCCAGCUAUGGCCCACACUUGCCACAAUUUGAAAAAAAAAAUUAAACAAAGGGGCAUAUUUCUCCCAACAAAAAAAAUAUAUAUAUAUAUUUGUCUCAUCUAUUGCUUAAGAGUUAAACCAAAAGGUAGAACACCAAAAUAUUUUUGGUGGUGGUGACAGUGGUGAGAAUUCAUAAGGUCUGUUCCUAUUCCCAGCCCUGUCGUUUGACGUGCUAAUUGGCUUGGGCGAGUUUCUCCAUCUCACUGUGUUCCCUCUCCUGCUUGCCUUAUCUGUUUAGACUGCGGGCUCCUGGGGACAGGGAGCCUCUUCUCAAAGGGCAUCUACAGGAUGCCAAACCAUUUAGAUCCCGCUGUCAGAGAAAUAACAGGCUUGGGAACCUGAACACAGGGGAAGGCUGAAUGCAAGUUCUGUUGCCCUUACCUCUGGUCAAACUAGACACAGAGCUCUUAACGUACCAUAACUUGUUUUCACUGGUGUUGACAAUACUAAAAAUUAGAAGGCCGCAUAUCAGGAGGCACGUGACAGAGAGCACGAAUGUCAGAAUGUGGGGAAGAUGCAGCAAUGUCUGAGGACUUACGUUUGGGCCAGCAGACACCGCUCAGUCUCUGCAUGCCAGAAAUAGCAGCGGGACGCAAGCACAGCAGCCAGUCUCCCCACUCCUGGUGCCAGUCUGUACUUCUGCAUCACUGAACAUUGCAAUGCAGGCUCUGUUACAUCCUAAGUUUAAAUUCAGUUGUUUUUACAACACAGAGACAGUGUAACAUUUGUAUCAGGUAGAAUAUGAGGAAAACAAAUAGAACAAUCUGAAUAUGAGGUUACUUAACCUAUUAUGAUAAUAAAUGACAUUCUUUAAACAGGAUUUUCAAUGUAUAGUAACAUCCUUUUCAAGUUGAUUGUGUUCUUAUCAGAGUAGUAUCUGAUUGUAAAUAUUGUCAGUUUUAAGGAUGUAUAGCUAAUGAAUGUAUAUGUCAGCAUGGCAGCAGUCCAUAUGAAAUCUAUCUUCAUAUAGAUAUACAGUAUGCUCAUUUGCAAUUCCAACAUGACAUACAACAUGGCAGACUGAACAAUUCACAUAUGAUCUGCACCUCUGUCUUUCCUUCUGCGUAAGAAGGACCUCUAUUUAAUAGACAGUGAGUAAAAACAAAGAAAAAUAAGCGACUCAUCAGAGAUCCCAUAGGAAGUCUGGUGCAGAACUUCAGGAUUUGCACCAACGGCUUAAUCAAAGAAAUAAAUCGUUCCACGAUAAUGGUAGAGGCUGUGCACAGUAGCCUUCUCCCCAUGAAUAAUAAAACAAGACAAGCCCCACGAGCUGAGCACAAACAAGAAUCCUUCACACUGGAGAGGACUGUAAAAUUACAAAGCUAAUUCACCUGAUGCCCGAGAGAAAUCUGAACUCCUGUUUCCCAGGAGCCAGGCACGAUAGUGAACACCCACUCCUGGGUGCCUGCAGCUGCAGAGCGCCAACAUUCUGAGCCUAGUGCACAGAGGAACCCUUCCCAAACUAACUUACACUGCGAUGGCUGGUUAGCAACACCUAAGUUUUACAGCCAGAUAGAUUCCAGCUCUGUGCUAGGAGGGGUUGUCCACAUGCAACCAACUGCAGCAGUCAGUCCCACGUCAUUAUUUGAUCACAUUCCUUCUCAAUUACCAUUUUUUUUAACAACGAAGAGACAAUCUAGCAAUGGAAACCCAUUCUUUGAACAACUCCUGCCAUUUUUCUCAGAUGUAAACUACUGCUAUGUAAGCCAUUCCCAAUUAAUAACGGGCCCCCAUGGAAAAGCCACUGCCUGUCUACUGAUUUCAUUUCCUACAUCUUCUCUUGUUAAAAUCACAAUUCAACUCUCCAAAACGCAAGGGCAAAAGAUCCUUUGUUUCAUCUUCACAAGAUGACAGUGUUUUUUCCCUUGCCAUUUUCUUGCAGGAAGAUAUAUUAGCACUACAUUUGCUCCUCCAUGCGGUGGGAUUUCUUAAAUAAAAACGUAUGUUAUAUAUGGAUGGACUUGGAACUGGAGCUGCAUUAGCCUAUUAACUAUCCACAUUUGCUUCAGACUUGGCCAGCCACCUAGAAAACCUGCCAAGACCUUUCUGGCAGCCUUUUCCCAACAGUUCCAGGAAAACAUGGAAUAUUCAAAGAAUUUUAGGGCCUCCCGGCUUCGUUUGUCACCACUCUCCUUGCCCACUUAUUACUAAAUCACAGGCAAAUUGCUCUAAUGCCCUAUUAAAGAUUUAAAAGCGGCCUUCUCCACAGCGGGGUAUACGAGGACAAACCCACGCUCGCACGGCCGCUGUCUGUGCUCAGGCAGGCCGUGAGGCCUCGCAGUGAGGAAGGGGACUGCCUGACCAACUCCAAAGUUCACGACUGAAUUCUCCCAUGUUAGGAGAUGUUAAAGCUCUCUCAGACACCCAGACAAAGGAGAGAUUCGUUUUCUCCUCAGCGUUACGCCGACAAAUUGCCGUUGAGGUUUCGUGUGCCUGCGUCGUACAGGCCGCAAACAAAUGGUGCGUUGCACCAGGACUCACUCACUGCCCCAUGGGCCUCAGGGCACUGCUUGACCAAUGCCACAGGGACAGGCUGGAGCCCCAUUGCCUACAGCUUGCCUCGGAGCCAUCUUAAAGCCUCACAGCAACCAGGUGGCAUGAUUCUACACCAAGAUUCAGAGCAGGAUUCACGUGCACUGCAACUGCAAUCCUCUGCUUUGCAAUCUAAGCCAGGAUCACAGCACAACAGCAAAAAGAAAGGAAUCCUGCUUUCGCGUGCAUGAACUAAGCUAUUCCUUCAGCCCCAUCCACUGAAGAAGGAAGAGACUCCAGGUCUCUAAUUUUGACAUGAAGUUCUGAGUAAUCCUUUAGGAAAUACAGCCACCAGCAUAGGGCCCCUGAUGAUUUAUUGCAGCACUACAGUGAGAGCUCACUGACCGGUGCCAUGUAUCGUAGAACCCUACAAACAGAAGUGAUUCAGCAGCCAAACUGCAUCAUUACCAACACAGCAAGCAGCAGACACUGAUUUUAUUUUUUCCACUAAACCUACACUACUUAAUUUCUGAUUCAGUAACUAUUCUCACAUACAAAUGAAGGGAAACACGUGACUGAAAUAUCUUAGUUCCCUUAAUAAUAAGUUCUCCUUUCACAUUUCAAAAGCCACUGGGAAGGCAAUUUCUAAAAUCAACUCAAACCACAAGAUCUGUAGCAGAUAGCAAUUGUGCCUCGCCUUCUCCCCUUCCCAUUUCCUUCCUGUUCUUCCUCAUUCUUUUUUUUAAGAUCCUGUCUCCAAAUCUAACAACUUCACUUAUGGGAGGAAAUAGAAAGCCAAGGGGAAGCUGUGGCAUUUGUCAGACUACAAACAGCGCUACUGCAAACCACUCUUUGAGCCACAACUGCUAUUCCUCAUCAGACGAGAUGAGAAGCCACUUCAAACACAAGGAAAAAACCGAACUCUUUAAAAUACACCCACAUCAGGGGCAUUAAUCCAGGAAUGGGUUUGACCUUCUGCUUGCAACAAUUAUUUAAACUCACUAAGGCCAAAGAACACAGACUGUUUGCCUACAGCAUUCAGGGACUGAAUGGAGUGACCCCAAACCUCAUACCAAGCUGAGAGCCACAGAUUUCCAGGCAGCAUGAUUCAGAAGAGACAGCUUCACCUGCCUCUGUGUGCUUUACUGUACAUUGGUCACACAAGCCUUCCCCAUCGCACACAGCAGCUGUGAGGGACUGCAGGUGGACCAUGCUGUUGGGAAUAACUGAAUAAAAACUGGGAACGGAGCAGCAAUGGAAGAGAAGGAAAUUAGGACACUUCUGUCUGUUCAUUGUUCAAGCAGGGAGAAACAAGACUGGCAAUUAAAGGAACCGUUCAGGACUAGACACCUUCCUUUUGCUUCCUCCUCUUCUAAUCUACAGCUCAUGAGCUGCUCCUUUACUCAUUGCAAAAGGUCCGUAAUUGUAACACUGCCACAUUCUCCUGGAAAUCUACUUAAAUGGCAUAUGAUAGAAGGGCAUCCGAGGACAUAUGAUGGAAGUCUAAUUAAUUGACAAUACAUUCCUCUCAUCAGGGGGAGAGCUGGAAUGCUGCUUUGUUCGGAAGAAAAAUAUGCACACUGCAUUAUGUUUAUUGUUAACUCCACCGUACCACUGACCAUCCUCCUUCUUCAUUGUUACCUCCUGUUCCUUAGAGCAGAUAGAUUAUUUGAUUUACAUAUCCAUCUGGCACUAAGUUUGAUAGCCACGAGUAUGUGUGUUAGUCCAUAUACUCUUCACUUUUCAACUUUACAAAGUACCCUUAUGCCUGUAUGAAGCAGGUCUACAAUUCUGCCACCGAAAAGGAAAACAGGCUGUUCUUAUUUGGGAAUCAUUAUCAUUAAUAUGUGAUGUUUUUCCUAGAGAAGCACCAAACAGGUAAAGAAUCGACCAUUGCGGAGUGGUGUCCACUAACUGUAUGCUGGGUGUGAGUCAGCACAGUUUGUGGGUUUACAUCAGUUGAAAGUGUGCACUUCCAGCUGCAACAAGAUCUAUGGGGCAGAGAAAUAAAGUAGCCUAAAGCAUAUACACAGCAGCUGUCCUAAAUGAAACUGAUGCGAUGGAGAAGCAAACCACCUUUACAAGAUAUGACCAGAAGCACCAGUCUUUGAAAUGCCUACUUUAAUUGUAAAAGCCUAGGAAAAACACCUUGAAAACCACCAUUUUAGCUAACUGUAAU
rnacentral:lncRNA from 1 species